GCAUAUCAUGACUCUCAUUUGCCAUUAAUAUCCCCAUAGAAUAUCUCAAUAAAUCCCAACAGAUGAACCUCCAAAAUUCAAACUGCCAUCUCUAUAUUUCAUAUAACUGUUCUCAACGGGAAGAGUUUUGGAUACGUUAGUAUUGAAUCCUCUUCUACCUUGAAUACCUGAAAAGCUUUUUCAAUUCCCGUAUUCUGGUUCAAGAAGAUUAAAUAGGGGCGGCUGUUGUACCCCAAAAUUUUCCCUCCCC
rnacentral:lncRNA from 1 species